GAAGGUAUAGCUCAGUGACAGAGUGUAUGUUUAGCGUGCACCCAAGUCCUGGGUUCAAUCCCCAGUACCUCCA
rnacentral:tRNA from 1 species